AGGUGAAAGGUGACAUGAAAUGUGAGAAUUUCGGCUGUUUUGAGAGGAAUCUCCGGAAAGAAUUGAACCAUAUGAAAUUGCUGCUUUGUGGAUCAGACACAGAGUUAAAGACUCACACAACUGUAAGAAGGUAGGAGUGGAGGCCAGGAAGGCCUCUUUUGAGAAAUCAGAAAAUGCAAGAAUUACAGGUAAGCCAACCCCAAAGAUCAUAGAUACCUGCAGCCUCAAAGUGGCUUGUACUCAGGAGGAUGUCAAAAUGUCGAAGGUAAAACCUUACCUCUGCCAUCUACCUGGGGUCUGUCUAAAGCUAAAGCAUAAUGGCUUUUCCUUCU